ensembl:misc_RNA 7SK 7SK RNA
GGAUUUUUGGGUGACCUGGUUGAGACAUGUGUCACCCCAUUGAUCACCAGGAUUGAUUCAGCUGAUCUGGUUGGCUAGGUGGGUGUCUCCUUUCUCCCUCACUGCUCAACGUGCAUCCCUCCUGUAGCUGCUCACUUGGUCAAAGAGGAUGGCCUUCCCCAAAUAAAGAAGAGCCUGUCUUUGAUAUACGAGGGUAUAUGAGCAGCUGCAUGCCCCUGCUAGAACCUCCAAACAAGAUCUCAAGGUUCAGACAGAAACUAUCAAAUAACUUUCAGUAAAAUGCUAGCAACACUCUUU